rnacentral:rRNA from 1 species
CCUACGGGAGGCAGCAGUGGGGAAUAUUGGACAAUGGGCGAAAGCCUGAUCCAGCAAUGCCGCGUGAGUGAUGAAGGCCUUCGGGUCGUAAAGCUCUUUUACCAGGGAUGAUAAUGACAGUACCUGGAGAAUAAGCUCCGGCUAACUCCGUGCCAGCAGCCGCGGUAAUACGGAGGGAGCUAGCGUUGUUCGGAAUUACUGGGCGUAAAGAGUACGUAGGCGGUUAUUCAAGUCAGAGGUGAAAGCCCGGGGCUCAACCCCGGAACUGCCUUUGAAACUAGAUAACUAGAGUCUUGGAGAGGUUAGUGGAAUUCCGAGUGUAGAGGUGAAAUUCGUAGAUAUUCGGAAGAACACCAGUGGCGAAGGCGACUAACUGGACAAGUACUGACGCUGAGGUACGAAAGCGUGGGGAGCAAACAGGAUUAGAUACCCUGGUGGUCCACGCCGUAAACGAUGAUAACUAGUUGUUCGGUCACUUGGUGACUGAGUGACGCAGCUAACGCAUUAAGUUAUCCGCCUGGGGAGUACGGUCGCAAGAUUAAAACUUAAAUGAAUUGACGG